UACAAGACACCAGAGACCCCCCUGGGGGGCGGGGGGGCCCUGCCUGUGCUCCUGGGCUUGCACGAGGCGCCAGCCGGGGCUGAGCCGUUUCCCUGCGCUGAGUCACAGCCUCCAAAUAUUUCCCAGCGUGUUUUUCCAGGCCUGGCUGAGGCUGAGCCUUCGGAGAGAAGAGCAAAGCCUCCCCUCCACAUGCUAAAGUUUUACGGUGUCACCCUGUAACACCCAGCCAGCGAGGGGACAACACCGUCUGGGGACCUGGGGGUGCUUGGGGACCCCCGGGAUCCCUAGAGCAGCCCCCAGCCCCUGCCAGGGUGGCAGCUCCCUGCCCCAGGGGGUGGCAGGAUUAUUCCCUGAAUAUACCGGGAAUGGCAACCAUGAGCUUAUUUUUAAGUGAGUCCAGCAUGAUUUUAGGGAGGGUGCUUGGAGAUCUUUAGUGCUAGUGGCUUUUGUACCGUACCUACGGAGGGGUCUGGACGUGGGGUCUCGGGUACCCGGUGCAGCUGGGGGAUCCCAGCAGGGAGCACUGUGUCGGCUUUUCAAAAGAAAUGAGAAAAUGUCCUGGGGAACCGAGGCAGCUCAGACAAUCAAUGGCAAUCGUUGGAAAAAUGUCAAGUUGACAGGGAGAUUCUGUCAGAGGAGGGAUUUUUCCUGCUGCCUUCUUGGCUUUCUUUGAGGUAUCUGAAAUAUUUUGUUCAAAUGGAAGAAAUCCUCCAAUAAAGGCACCAUUUCUGGUCACAAAGCCAUGCUGGGAGCAGCUGAGCCUUUCAGAAAAAUAAAAAUAAUAAAAAAUCCUUCUUUGCUACAGUUUCACCCUGGCACAUCUGGCAAAAGCAGCACCAGCAUCUUGUGGGGUCACUGCUCUGCAUCCCCGCUGCUCCUCGCUUUUUCCUGCAAUGUCAGAUAGCCGGGAUGACACAGUCCAGCCGGGUCCCUGGGCACCCCUGGAGCAGCGAUGCCCCCCCAGCGCCCAACCCCCAGCCCUGCAGACCCAGGCUGGGCCGAUGUUUAAAUCCCGGUGCCGGGGGGUGAGCAACUGCAUCGGCAAUUGCAAACCCAUUGGGGAUGGUGACCAGUUUGCAACGCCGCAGCAAGCGGUGCCCAGCGUGGUCACAAUUAUAAACCAAUAAAUUCCUCACCCUGAGUUUUACCAAGGCCAG
rnacentral:lncRNA from 1 species